CCAUGUCGUGAACCAACCAAACCAGCCAACCAGGGUUCUAUGACUCUGUUCAAAUGUUAAAAAUUAUUUUUUUUAAAUACAAAGUAUAAAACGUGCACCAUCGCCUUUUCCGGAGAGGGAAACGAUUCGUGGGUGGGGAACCGACUUGAUACCGUGUGCUGAAACCCAUAAUAGUGUCACUUGAUUAUCUGGAUUCAUCAGCUUUACAUCGUGUUUCCUCUAAGAUGUAAAUUGCAAUGUAGGAGGAUCCCACGCUUUUUGGUGCUAUGUAUCUGUGGUGGCUGCUAAAUGUACGUUGCCUCAUUUGUUUUGAAAGUUGUCUGGGAAGUAGUGAGGGCUAACCACAUAACAACAAAAGUGUUGGGUUUGUUCGUGUGGGGUCAUGAGGUGGCCAGGUUUUUCCUGUGGUUGCUGCCUGGAGAAUUUACAUGGAGGUAGGGCUCGGCCCCGAUUACCCGAGAACCAGCUUUCUACUGGAAUAUACUGGCGCGACACACAUAAAAUUUUGUUUUUAAAGUUUUCGUUGUUGAUUAGCGCCAGUACCUUCCGGUAGUAAGCUGGUUCUCGGGUAGUCGGGGUAGAUCCCUACAUGGAGGCUUUGCGUGGUGAAAUGGUGUUCAAUGUUACCAACUUCCGUCAUUUUGGUUCCAUUCUGGGGAUGCAUCAGUUUCGUUCCAGGAUUUGUCGGCGUUAGUUUUUCGUCGCCAGUUCGUGACGCUGUUUCAAACGGGUAAUUAUGUUGACAUCACUUUGUCUUGAUCCCGAUCGCUACGCCUCUCCAUAUCCAGUAGGAAGAAAGGUUGUGCCGUAUACGGGGUAGCAGUUUGACAGCGCCUUUAUCCUGUUUUUUUUUUAAAUACUACUCUUUGUAGGGUUGGGUUAGUCUCUGGUGACUGUUGCGGUGGAUUCCGUACCUUAGGUCCUGGGUUUAGCGCAUGUGCGAUGGGUCAUCGCAUUUGUAAUACGUCAUGCGGAUAGCCCAGUGUCGUUGUUCGACGCUUGAGUCUGCUGUGGCGAUUUUUUGUUGGUGUUUCCUUACGGGUUUGGUGUUAAUUUCUUCGUAGGGUUGCGGCAAUCUCUGAUCCUCUCGUCGAGCAGUUCGCUUUCACUCCUCAGGUUUUUGGUUGCUGAAUUUCGCGUAUGAUUAGUCGUUCAGCAUGUCACAUACUGAGCUGGUUGCCGUUGUUCGUGUUCUCUUGGUAUUAAUUAAUUCUUUCCCAUUUUGUUGUUUGAGUGAUAAUUUCCUAUACCGCCUCAGGCCGAAGAAUAGUGUUGAAUGGUUUUCCUUAAUGACGACCGUUAGCUUCAUUCAGGGAUUGUUCAUUUUGUUUUGAAGAUUAUGAUGUCAUGUUAAAUUUUGCUUAGAGUUUGCUGUGGGGAUUUUUAAAUAAAAAAUAAGCACGUUCAUUCCCUUCAACCAAUUGUCAACGCGAGGGAAUUUCCCUUACGACACUUUCAUUGUAGCUGGCAGUGACCGUAAUUAUGGCUUACUUAGCCCAUACUUAUCAAGACCUGCCCUCUUGGUUCUCCGACCUAAAAACUAUCAUCUUCAAAAACUUCCAGGUUUGUUAUGGUCGUAGAACAGCAGACGACGGAGUUCAAAGCGGUAUUGUACCAUCGGGCAGAACCCAAACGGUCGAUGCAUUGAAAAUGUCGGAUCUCUGUUGAUGAAUUUUCACCAGCACUCUUCUACAAGACGCAUGUGAAGCAAACGAUAGCGAAGGAGAUAUGAACUUGAAUUGGUUGUUUACAACCCAUGGCUUUCCCGCAUUCCAGGAUUAGUAUUAUACACCUUUCGCACUUGUACAGAGCGUUCGGAAACAAAAUUAGUUGUGAAUGGGUUUGCUGUUGACAAGCAAGGGAAGGAUUUGGAUUUUUACCAAACUAGACAAGAAUGAAAUUUCUUGUGGCUGAUGGUCUUGUUGACUGACAAGGAAGGAUUUUUUAAACCAAAGUAGACAGGAUAUUUAUUCUAAAUCCUACAAUGUCCUGGUAAUAAAUCACAUGAAAAAUGCUAAAAGGAUUUCGCUACUACAAAUCAUACUGAAUUAGAAUUUUAACUGAGGCUGGGUGCCAAAACAAUGGAAGUGCGAUUGGAAAUAUCCAUGAUUUAUUAACGUUCUCUCAUGUUACGGUGUUUUAUUAAAGGCAAAUUGAAGUGCA
rnacentral:lncRNA from 1 species